UACGUAGGGUGCGAGCGUUGUCCGGAAUUAUUGGGCGUAAAGAGCUUGUAGGCGGUUUGUCGCGUCUGCUGUGAAAAUCCGGGGCUCAACCCCGGACUUGCAGUGGGUACGGGCAGACUGGAGUGUGGUAGGGGAGACUGGAAUUCCUGGUGUAGCGGUGGAAUGCGCAGAUAUCAGGUGGAACACCCGUAGCGAAGGCGGCACUCUGGGCCGGAACUGACGCUGAGGAGCGAAAGCGUGGGGAGCGAACAGG
rnacentral:rRNA from 1 species